UUACCCGCUGAACUUAAGCAUAUCAAUAAGCGGAGGAAAAGAAACUAACAAGGAUUCCCCUAGUAACUGCGAGUGAAGCGGGAAAAGCUCAAAUUUAAAAUCUGGCGGUCUUUGGCCGUCCGAGUUGUAGUCUGGAGAAGUGCUUUCCGCGCUGGACCGUGUAUAAGUCUCUUGGAACAGAGCGUCAUAGAGGGUGAGAAUCCCGUCUUUGACACGGACUACCAGUGCUUUGUGAUGCGCUCUCAAAGAGUCGAGUUGUUUGGGAAUGCAGCUCAAAAUGGGUGGUGAAUUCCAUCUAAAGCUAAAUAUUGGCGAGAGACCGAUAGCGAACAAGUACCGUGAGGGAAAGAUGAAAAGCACUUUGGAAAGAGAGUUAAACAGUACGUGAAAUUGCUGAAAGGGAAACGCUUGAAGUCAGUCGCGUUGUCCGGAACUCAACCUUGCUUUUGCUUGGUGCACUUUCCGGAUGACGGGUCAGCAUCGAUUUUGACCGUCGGAAAAGGGCUAGAGUAAUGUGGCACCUCCGGGUGUGUUAUAGACUCUGGUCGCAUACGGCGGUUGGGAUCGAGGAACGCAGCGCGCCGUAAGGCAGGGGUUCGCCCACUUUCGCGCUUAGGAUGCUGGCAUAAUGGCUUUAAACGACCCGUCUUGAAACACGGACCAAGGAGUCUAACAUACCUGCGAGUGUUUGGGUGGAAAACCCGAGCGCGUAAUGAAAGUGAAAGUUGAGACCCCUGUCGUGGGGGGCAUCGACGCCCGGACCUGACGUUCUCUGACGGAUCCGCGGUAGAGCAUGUAUGUUGGGACCCGAAAGAUGGUGAACUAUGCCUGAAUAGGGUGAAGCCAGAGGAAACUCUGGUGGAGGCUCGUAGCGAUUCUGACGUGCAAAUCGAUCGUCAAAUUUGGGUAUAGGGGCGAAAGACUAAUCGAACCAUCUAGUAGCUGGUUCCUGCC
rnacentral:rRNA from 1 species